rnacentral:rRNA from 1 species
AGUGAACGCUGGCGGUAGGCCUAACACAUGCAAGUCGAACGGCAGCACAGUAAGAGCUUGCUCUUACGGGUGGCGAGUGGCGGACGGGUGAGGAAUACAUCGGAAUCUACUUUUUCGUGGGGGAUAACGUAGGGAAACUUACGCUAAUACCGCAUACGACCUACGGGUGAAAGCAGGGGAUCUUCGGACCUUGCGCGAUUGAAUGAGCCGAUGUCGGAUUAGCUAGUUGGCGGGGUAAAGGCCCACCAAGGCGACGAUCCGUAGCUGGUCUGAGAGGAUGAUCAGCCACACUGGAACUGAGACACGGUCCAGACUCCUACGGGAGGCAGCAGUGGGGAAUAUUGGACAAGGGGCGCAAGCCUGAUCCAGCCAUACCGCGUGGGUGAAGAAGGCCUUCGGGUUGUAAAGCCCUUUUGUUGUGAAAGAAAAGCAGCAGGUUAAUACCCCGCUGUUCUGACGGUACCCAAAGAAUAAGCACCGGCUAACUUCGUG